UAAAUUUCUCAGUGUCACAAGUGCC
rnacentral:piRNA from 1 species